GGAGUCCAGGUGCUUCCCCUCCCUCGCAGGCGGCGCCUGGCCCAGCCUUCCCUUGGGGUGGCGGGCUGCCCCUCUGGCCUCAAGCUCUGCCCGGCACCCACCUCAGCGUGGGGAAGGCGGAGGCCCCUGGCAGCCCCGAGGCGAGGUGCCGGGAGAGUGCAGGCCGCAGCCCGCUCAGCCGCCCGCCCUCCGCCGCCGGCUCCCCGGGCAGGAAGCGGCUACCACUUCCGGGUCGGCAGCCCGGCAGCGGCGGGGCCCGGGCCGCCCCUCGAUAUGGAUAAAGUGAAGGAUGAAAAAAGUAGGAAGCUCUGCGCAACUUCACAAGAAGAUCUGAGAGGCCGAGGAAAAGAGAAAAGGAAACGAAAACGCAGUAGAAGCAGAUCAUCAUCUGUUACAUCCACAUCGUCUUCUAGUGCUACAUCCACUUCUUCUUCCUCAUCGCGCUCAUCAUCAAGGUCAUCUUCUUCAAGUAGCAGAGAUUCUCCUAAGUCUAAGUCAAAGAAAAAGAAAAAAGAAAAACACAAUAAAAAGGUAAACAUGUACUAA
rnacentral:lncRNA from 1 species